rnacentral:tRNA from 1 species
GUUGAGAUGGCCGAGUUGGUCUAUGGCGCCAGAUUAAGGUUCUCGUCCGAAAGGGCGUGGGUUCAAAUCCCACUCUCAACA